GGCGGACGGGUGAGUAACACGCCGGGAACGUGCCUUUAGGUUCGGAAUAGCUCCUGGAAACGGGUGGUAAUGCCGAAUGUGCCCUUCGGGGGAAAGAUUUAUCGCCUUUAGAGCGGCCCGCGUCUGAUUAGCUAGUUGGUGAGGUAAAGGCUCACCAAGGCUACGAUCAGUAGCUGGUCUGAGAGGAUGACCAGCCACAUUGGGACUGAGACACGGCCCAAACUCCUACGGGAGGCAGCAGUGGGGAAUCUUGCGCAAUGGGCGAAAGCCUGACGCAGCCAUGCCGCGUGAAUGAUGAAGGUCUUAGGAUUGUAAAAUUCUUUCAGUAGGGACGAUAAUGACGGUACCUACAGAAGAAGCCCCGGCUAACUUCGUGCCAGCAGCCGCGGUAAUACGAAGGGGGCUAGCGUUGCUCGGAAUUACUGGGCGUAAAGGGAGCGUAGGCGGACAUUUAAGUCAGGGGUGAAAUCCCAGAGCUCAACUCUGGAACU
rnacentral:rRNA from 1 species